rnacentral:tRNA from 1 species
GUAGCUCAGCUGGAUAGAGCGACAGCCUCCGGAGCUGUAGGUCAGGGGUUCGAAUCCUCUC